rnacentral:lncRNA from 1 species
AGCAGAGCACUCAGGCCUUUACUAAGGUGUCCUACCACAACCUCAGCCUGUGUUGAGCAGAAUUAGGUGGAGAGCCAGGGAGGCCCACUGAACAAGACUGAGGAAGGAGAUUGGAAGAGAAUCACCAGGAAUACACCCUUUUCUUAAGAGCUGAUAGGGAGUUCCAUGAAACUGGGUGAAUGAGAUGAGUCAAGGGAAGAAAGGAGGCAUCAUAGUGUGAGAAGAGGAGCAGGAAGUCACUGGGGAGCAGGGAAGCAGUCACAAGGCAGCUGAAAAUGACUGAGAAAAAGGAAGACACACCUGAACCUAUGAGGAUAUGUCCUCACAGAGACUGUGAUAGCAUACACAGAGGCUGCCCGGGUUCACGCAGGGGUUCCACUGCUGAGAGAAGAAAGUGGACAGAGCUCCUAUCCCUAACAGAGAAGGGAUCUCCAAUUGAUAGCCACUUAGUUUUUCUCCAGUGGAGUCUCUCUGGAUAUAUAAACCACACUUAAAGGACUGUCUAACUUUUGAGGAUGUGGCUGUGAACUUCACCUUGGAGGAGUGGGAUUUGCUGGAUCCUUCCCAGAAGCAACUCUACACAGAUGUCAUGCAGGAAACCUUCAAAAACCUAAUUGCUAUAG